rnacentral:rRNA from 1 species
UCCUACGGGAGGCAGCAGUAGGGAAUAUUGCUCAAUGGGGGAAACCCUGAAGCAGCAACGCCGCGUGGAGGAUGAAGGUUUUAGGAUUGUAAACUCCUUUUGUUAGAGAAGAUUAUGACGGUAUCUAACGAAUAAGCACCGGCUAACUCCGUGCCAGCAGCCGCGGUAAUACGGAGGGUGCAAGCGUUACUCGGAAUCACUGGGCGUAAAGAGCGCGUAGGCGGGUAGUCAAGUCAGAUGUGAAAUCCUGUAGCUUAACUACAGAACUGCAUUUGAAACUGACCAUCUAGAGUAUGGGAGAGGUAGGUGGAAUUCUUGGUGUAGGGGUAAAAUCCGUAGAGAUCAAGAGGAAUACUCAUUGCGAAGGCGACCUGCUGGAACAUUACUGACGCUGAUGCGCGAAAGCGUGGGGAGCAAACAGGAUUAGAUACCCUGGUAGUCCACGCCCUAAACGAUGAAUGCUAGUUGUUGCCCUGCUUGUCAGGGCAGUAAUGCAGCUAACGCAUUAAGCAUUCCGCCUGGGGAGUACGGUCGCAAGAUUAAAACUCAAAGGAAUAGACGGGGACCCGCACAAGCGGUGGAGCAUGUGGUUUAAUUCGAAGAUACGCGAAGAACCUUACCUAGGCUUGACAUUGAUAGAAUCCGCUAGAGAUAGUGGAGUGCUGGCUUGCCAGAGCUUGAAAACAGGUGCUGCACGGCUGUCGUCAGCUCGUGUCGUGAGAUGUUGGGUUAAGUCCCGCAACGAGCGCAACCCUCGUCCUUAGUUGCUAGCAGCUCGGCUGAGCACUCUAAGGAGACUGCCUUCGUAAGGAGGAGGAAGGUGAGGACGACGUCAAGUCAUCAUGGCCCUUACGCCUAGGGCUACACACGUGCUACAAUGGGACAUACAAAAAGAUGCAAUACCGUGAGGUGGAGCAAAUCUCUAAAAUGUCUCUCAGUUCGGAUUGUAGUCUGCAACUCGACUACAUAAAGCUGGAAUCGCUAGUAAUCGUGAAUCAGCAAUGUCACGGUGAAUACGUUCCCGGGUCUUGUACUCACCGCCCGUCACACCA